rnacentral:tRNA from 1 species
GCAGGGGUAGCCAAGCCUGGCCAAAGGCGCAGGACUUAGGAUCCUGUCCUUAGUGGUUCGUGCGUUCAAAUCGCACCCCCUGCA